CAUUCACUUUCUGGACAUGCCAAAGUAAAGCCCUUUGAUCCCAAAAUUACCUGCAAACAGGAGUGUCGCAUCACAACUUUUCAGGAUGUGUACUUUGUAUCUGAAAGCUUUGAAGAUGCAAAAGAGAAGAUGAGGUAAAGUAUAUCUUCCUCAUGCCUAACUUUCCUCUGCAAAAGAUAAGUCCAGGGGCGCCUGGGUGACUCAGUCAGCUGAGUAUCUGACUCUUGAUUUUGGCUCAGGUCAUCAUCCCAGGGUCAUGGGAUCAAGCCCCAUGUCAGGCUCUGUGUUGAGCAUGGAGUCCGCUUGGGAUUUUCUCUCUCUCUUCCUCUGCCCCCUCCCCCACUCACGUGACCUCUCACUCUAAAAUAAUAAUAAUAUAAAUAAAUAAAUAAAUAAAUAAAUAAAUAAAUAGAUUAAAGAAAAAUAUAGGUCCAAUAAUGGUAACAAAUCACAGAAGUAAGCAGCUGGAUAAUUAGAAGCCUACUAGGUACCUUCUGCCUGUGAUAUAUCUCCCUUUCACAACAAAUAUUUAGAGUAUGUUGUUUAUGGUGAUGUUUGGUGACUGCAUAUAUGAAUCAGAUACAUUGAGAAAUUGGUUUCUCCUCAUCAGAGUUUAUAAUCUAAUAGGAAAAAUAAACUAUAUACAAAUUGCUACGUAACAACAUAGGAAGUCUUACAGCGAUACAGAUGAAACUUUGUUCUCCAUUUUAUUCAGGAGCAAUUUGUUCCAGAUGGAGGAACAGGGAAAGCUUAAUGACAUCUGAAAAAGCACUUGGAGGAUAAAUAGGAUUUAGGUAUGUUAAGUUUUAGGCUAAGGAACAGCAUAAAAAAGGUAAGGAGAUGGAAACAUACAAGAGUGUGAUGCAAUCAAGCUAUGUGUUAUUUAACUAUUGAUCAGCUAAGUGUAUUGUUAAGAAAGAAGAACAUUGGAGGCAGAGAAACUACUUAGGAGGUUUUUGUAAUACUUCAGGUGAAAAUAAGGGCCUGGGCCAAGACUGUAGGACUAUAGAAGCAGAAUUAACAAAACAUUUGUUGGAAGGUGUCAUGAGGUCACAUUGUGAGAUCGUUGUGGGAUAGAUGGGGGUUUAAGACAUGCUCCUUGUCUUCCAGGGAUUUUCUGUUACUCGAGGAGUUAGGCCAUGCACAGAACCAAAUAACAAUACUAGCAGGGCUUCCUCUAACACAUAUGACCCGCUUUUGCAGACUAGAAAAAGGGGUCCCUUCUGGGUAGACCAGUUGGAUUGCAAGCUGCAUUUCAGCCCUUACUCCUGUACAGUUGUCUUCAGGUGUGUUCCUAGGGGUCCUGAACACAAUUGUUCUUGGGGGUGCCAAAUGAGAGGUUCAAAUGUUGGCCUGAUAAAGGAGGCAGAACUUUGAUGUGUGAAGAAAGGGUAGAAGUUAGGUCAUUUGAGAAGAGGCUAGAGGAUGACAUUCUAAACAGAAAGAAUGUCCAUGUGCAGGAGGCAGGCCUCCUGGCCUGUUUCUGGCCUGUUUCCAUGUAUGUGUGUUUGUGUGUGUAUAGCUGUAGUUAUGUAAAUCACAGCUGAGGAGUCUGUUACUAGGUGGUCAAGGGCUACCGUUGUCUACUGAUAAAGCUACUGUAGUUGGUCUCCUUAGCGUAGCCAAGAGAUAUAUAAAGGAAUACAUCAUUAAUACAGUCAUCCACAGGAUCUUUCCCUAGAAAUGCAGGGGUGGAUGUGUCUAUGACAAUUUUAGGUUUCCUACCUGUGUAGGAUUCCAGGGGAUCUCUGCACAGGCAGUGUAGGGAAAUAGGUCAAAUUGGCUGUGUCUUUUGUCUAGUGUGUGAAAUAGGUUUGCUAUUGCUCAUUCUGUUUUCAUCAUUCUGCCUCCUAGAAAUUGAUUGCCUCUUACUUGUUUUCUUCAAUAGAGAAUUUACCAAAACAAUUAAGCGUCCGUUUGGAGUGAAGUAUAAUCCAUAUACACGGAGUAUUCAGAUCCUGAAAGACACCAAGAGCAUAACCAGUGCCAUGAAUGAACUGCAGCAUGAUCUUGAUGUUGUUAGUGAUGCCCUUGCGAAGGUCAGCAAGCAGCUGAGCAUCUGAUCCUGAGAGCAUCUGAGUGCCAAUUCAGAGAGAGACCUGUGGGCCAGCUCCUGCUUUUCUUGAAGACCUGGUCAUGGAGGGACAGUAGCCAAACAACAUUCUCUACUCCCAUUCCUUAAUUAGUUCUUUGGAAAUUUGUACCUGGAUACUCUAUACCAGUACCUAUUUUUUUUUUUUUGUAACAGCUUAGUGAAAUAUGAUUCACAUACCAUACAAUUCAUUGACCACUCAUUUAAAAAAAUUUUUUUAAACAUUUUGUUUAUUUUUGAGAGACAGAGACAGAGAGUGAGUGGGGGAGGGGCAGAGACAGAAGGAAACACAGAAUCUGAAGCACGCUCCAGGCUCUGAGCAAGCUGUCAGCACAGAGCCUGGUUUGUGGGGCUUGAACCCACAAACCGUUAGAUCAUGACCUGGGCUGAAGUUGGACGCUUAACCAACUGAGCCACCCAGGCGCCCCUGACUGACCACUCAUUUUUUACAGAGAAGUUUUUUAACCCCAUGGAUAGAUCUAAUACUGGCUCAAUUCUCUUUUCCCUAAUUUUUCUUGAGUAAAAUGACCUUUAUGAUCAUUUAAAAUGCCUUGGUGGGUAUCAUGGAGCUGACCCAUAUUGACACCUAAGAUCCUUUUAUUUCUAAAGUAUCUUACUUAUCAUUGGAUUUGUGCCAAGCUUGAUCCCAUUCAGAGCCAUAAAGUUAAUAGGAGACCCACUGUCUCCACUACUAGCAUGGGCAGAAGUAUAGAGACCUUUCCACAUGAAGCACACCUCAUAAAGAACAAGUAGUCUAGUUUCAAGUAUGGUAUCUUGUAAGGAAAUAGGAGUAGCUAAAUCUGGAAAGGUUGAUUAGGGCAUCAUCCUCAAGACCAGGUUAUGAAUUUGGGACUUUAUUUGGUGGGCACUAGGGAGCCCCUUCCCAUGUGACCAUCCUCCUUGAGUGAGACCCUUUGUUUUCUAAGGCACUGCAUGAUACUGGUUUUGUUUUAAAACUUUUUUUAAAUGUUUAUUUUUAAUUUUUUUUUUUAAUUUAUUUUUGGGACAGAGAGAGACAGAGCAUGAACGGGGGAGGGGCAGAGAGAGAGGGAGACACAGAGGGAAACAGGCUCCAGGCUCUGAGCCAUCAGCCCAGAGCCUGACGCGGGGCUUGAACUCCCGGACCGCGAGAUCGUGACCUGGCUGAAGUCGGACGCUUAACCGACUGCGCCACCCAGGCGCCCCUAAAUGUUUAUUUUUGAGACAGAGAAACAGGGCAUGAGCAGGGGAGGGGCAGAGAGAUACGGAGACACAGAAUCUGAAGCAGGCUCCAGGCUCUGAGCUGUCAGCACAGAACCCACUGCGGGGCUCGAACCCACGAACCAUGAUAUCAUGACCUGAGCCAAAGCCAGACACUGACUGAGCCACCCAGAUGCCCCAUGCUGAUUUUGUUUCAGAUUAUCUGUUCUACUCAUGGGUCCAACGGGGAACUUGGAGGCCGGGCAUUUGCAAGGCCCUAUACUCAGAUGUGUAGCGUAUCAUGAUGGGAUUUGCCCUUAGGUUAGCAGAAGAUGAUAUUGUCAAAUGGAGAGUUCAAACUGAGACAGGUGAGAGAAGCACAAAGUUAAUGUUAGAAAACUGAUGUUGGGCACUUCAUUUCCAAGGUUUAAGGUGAGACUGUAAAUAGGGAGUCAAGGCAUAAGGGUGGAGGGUGGGGAAACGGCUGAGGAAAUGGGAUGUGAGAAAGGUCAAGAAGACCAUUUUAGGUCUGACACUAAUAAUGCAAGGGUGCAAGGACUGGUUUUUAUGUGGUGUCUGCUGUGUAGUACAGGGAGUGGGCCUGAUACAAGCAGGUGAAGCUGGACUCCUCAAUACGUGCUGUGUCUGUUUAAUUUGCUCCUUUUCUCUUCCCCACUCCCUCCUCAAGUUUCUCCUGUCUUUGGUCUUCUCUUUCUGCCAUCUCUUUAUGGGAAAUGUUAUCCACAUCCAUGACUUCAAUUAUUAUUUUGUAUGACUCCCGUGUUUGCAAUUCUAACCUUGAGAUCUUUGUUGAAUUUUUGCCUCUUAAGUCCUGCUUAAUAUUUUAGCCUGCUAGAUAUUUUCCAUCUAGAUGUCCCAUAAAUCAGGCCAAUGUUGUACAACUUCUUGUGGUACCAUCCACAUAGAAUGAAACGGGUUUAUACAACACGGUAGACCUGCCAAGUAUUUCACAUUCAGUAGGUUAAAAAAAAAAGAACCCAUGAAUAAAAACCUCAGGAUCACCUGAAUAUUACACCCCACCAGGUUCCUCUCCCAGUGAUGUCAUUUCUGUUAAUGAUAUAUUAUGGGUCAUAUUUUUAGCCAAUUCUUCAUUCUUAAUCAGGUACUUAAAAAACUGUCUUUACUUUUUUUCACAUUAAUAGUCAAAUGGUAUACCAUUUAACACAUUGUAUCUCAACAGACCACUAGAUCUUUUCAUUUAUUUUAAGGCCACAAAAGAAAUUAUAUAAACUUAAAAAAAUUUCUUUUAUUUUAGGUCAUACAAGGAAAUAGAACUGGGAAGAGUAAUUCAUGCUAUUUCAGAUUUUUACAUUACUUAUAAUUUUAGUUAAGUAUAAUUUAAUAUACCUUUGAUAGUAAUAGAUCUAAGUCAGCUAAUCUAAAAUCAUUUAAAAUAUUGAUUAGCUAGUUUAUAGUUAGUGUAUUUGGUUGCAAGGAAAUCUGUAAGAAAACCAUGAUAGAUAAAAAUUAAUAGCAAGUUAUGCAUAUCAUAUUUGGUUAUUUUCAUAUAACUUUGAUCAUGGUAUAAAUAAUCAUAGUUUUUGAAUUUUAAGAUUGUGGUAUUUAAAACCACUCUGCAUAAAGCACACUAAAAUCAGUGUUAGAGCACAAUCAAUAUUACUUAUAACUUCAGAAUAAUGGAAAUAUUUAAUGAUUGAUUUUAGUUCUUCUAACCUCUGGACUUGUGAUAUUUACUUGGUACAUCAGGAGUCCUGAGAGUCUUAGAAUUUUAAAUAAAUAUUUUAAAUAUAUGUCUUUAAGGCAUCUAAGAAUAUGUUAAUAUUUACUCCAAUAUGAGAAUAGAAUUGAGUCGAAAGUUUGGUUUAUAAUUCUUUUUUUUUUUUUUUAAUUAUCUCAGAAGGCUAGGGCUUCUUUUUUAAAAAUUUUUUUAAAAUGUUUUAUUUAUUUUUGAGACAGGGAGAGACAGAGCAUGAACAGGGGAGGGUCAGAGAGAGGGAGACACAGAAUCUGAAACAGGCUCCGGGUUCUGAGCUGUCAGCACAGAGCCCGAUGCGGGGCUCGAACUCACGGACUGCGAGAUCAUGACCUGAGCCGAGUGGACCGCUUAACCGACUGAGCCACCCAGGUGCCCCUGGUUUAUAAUUCUUAAUCAGUGACUUAAUACUUAAAGAUGUAGGUGGUAUCUUUCUGACUUUUUGAAGAAAGCUCUAAAAGCUAGCUGGUUGUCAGAAUACCUAUAUUUCUUAAUCUGCCUAUGUUGUAAUUUGGAGUUAUAUAUUGUAAUGACACACCAGAAUGUACACAAUUAUACUUAAUUUGUAAGUUGGCUUCAAAACUGAAAAAGGAAAAAAUCCUGGAGUUCUUUAAAGGCACACAUAAUAGAGUCCAUAUAGUAAUUUCUAGGAAAUGUAUAAAGAUGCUGUGGUCCAUUUCAGUCUAGUGUUUCUUGUACUAUGUAAUAUACAUUUAUGAUUUGCAAGUUUGUUAUUCAAGCAGACAAUAAUAAAUGGACACAAAAUUCAUGUUCUUAAUAAGCCUUUUUUUGUCAAACAUGUUAAAAACAGAUUUCAAUAUAUAUUAGCAAUUUUAUAAGUUUAAGAAAUUUAUAACAUUCUAUACUUCUUGAAAAGCUUGUGAAUAUGAGAUAUAAGGGAAACCCAACACACUUGGAACUUAGUAACUACUUUUGGAAUUUUUGAUAAAGUCUCAAUCUCAUGUUUCUCAUUGGAAUCAUUAGCUAAAUCUACUUCAUUGAGUUAUUGGAGGAAUUAUGUUGUAAAAGGACAUUGUAAAAAGAAACUUGUUAUCCAGAUGUAAAGAAUCAUUAAUGCACUCACUGUCCUGAUCCAGGAUCUCCCAUAGCUUCUGGAUGACUUUAUCUUCUUCCAGAAGGAAUUCACUCUUGCUUCUAACAGGCAGUAUAUAAUGGCAUGCAAGAUCUUCUUAGUCCAAUUAGGGAUUAAGCUAAUUUGAAGCUGAACUUCAGUCUUUGUGAGGGCUGGUCUAUUUCCGGUUCACUCUACUCCCAGGGUGCAGUGCUUUAGGGAUCCCAAAGGAAAGCUAUGGGUGUGUACGAGGGCUUCUCUUUGGGGACCCUGGAUGCCUACUUUUGUCCCCUCCUCCUGUCAUUCUCCUCACCCCUGUAAGAUUGCUGAAAGUACUGUUCAGCUUCUCAGCUGCAGCUUUCAGCCCAGUUUCUUAGCCUCCAAGUCACUACUUGCUAAUUAGCAAACACUUCAAGUGGAAAAGCAGUGCCAAAUAUAAACUCUCAGCUUCCAGAUCUUGGCCCUUCAAGUUCUGGCUGCUUUGAUAAUUUUCCAAUGACUUGAAAUAGAUUUUUAAAAUACUAUCCCCCAGCUUUUCUAGUUGUUCUUGUGAGAAGCUUGAUCUGCAGCUAACUAAUUCGCCUGUAUCAAAAAUGGAAAUCUGGGGCACCUGGGUGGCUCAGUUGGUCCGACUUCGGCUCAGGUCAUGAUCUCACUGUUCGUGAGUUCGAGCCCCGCAUUGGACUCUGUGCUGACAGUUCAGAGCCUGCAGCUUGCUAUGGAUUCUGUGUCUCCCUCUCUCUCUGCAUCUCCCCUGCUUGCUCUCCCUCUCUCUCUCUCUCUCUCUCUCUCUCUCAAAAUUAAACGUUAAAAAAAAUGGAAAUCUAACCUGGGAAUAAAUUGUCUAACUUCUUUGAGCCUCGGUUUUUCUCAUCUAUAAAAUAAGAUAAUCUAAAGGAAAACAUUUCUUAAUUUGCAUGGUACAUAGAUAUAGUCUAGGUGCUCCCAAAGUACUUUAUACUUUCCUCUUAAGGGGAAAAAAGGCAUUUGAAAUUGAUAUCAUCAAAUAGUUUGGCCCCAUUCAGGAACUGCCACUCAACCAGGCUGCUAAUGGGAAGAGGUACUCAGUGACAUGUAUGUAGUUGAAAUAGUGACAACAUCUCAACACUUCCAAGAAAUUGUAUUAAAAGAUAUAAUAAUAUAACUGUAAGUUAACUGAAAUAUAGAUGCAUGUAUAUUCAAGGGGUGAAAUUGUAUCCUUCCAGAUCCUCUCUCUAUCAAAACUGACUCUGUGGAUAGUUCUACUUGCCCCUUCAGCUGAAAUCUCAGGUCCUGGCCUCGAAUUUUCUGCUCAUUUUCAGUCCUUGGCUUCUAAUUUCUCUCUUUCUUGUUUCUCUGUGCCCACUCACUAGGAUGCCUCUGGCUCCUCCAGGGUUUGGGAAUGGUAGUGGGGAGGAGAGGCAAUGAAUAGAAAGUUCUGUUUGGUUUGAUACUGUCGUGAGUUGGCAUCAGUGCUUUCUGUACUUUGUAAGUAUUUAAUGCUGACUCAUUCUCUGUGGGUGUUUUGGAAGACCUUCCCACCUCCUUAUUUCUUGGGAAUCUGUGGAUGUGGGUAAAUCUACCUCUCUGACUGGGCUGUUGUAUUCAUCUCCCUCACUCUCUAGGAAUCUAGUGGUUAACUCUAUUGGGGUGUCCCUUCACCCCUCCAGAAAUUCCUCUGGACAGGGUCAAAACCACCCCCUGGCCAAACUGCUCCAGAGUGGGGAAAUACUUGCCUGGGAGAUACUCUGGGUAUGAAAGACCUGUCCAAAGUAUCAAUCUCUCUUUGCUCAACUAUCAGAGUAGUUAUCUGGCCACAAGCCACUGGAUUUCUCAGCACAAAUCUACAGACUGCCCAGGCUUCAGACUGGAGGGAUACAUACCAAACUCUCUAAGUGGUUCUGCAGAAGCACCCUUUCCUGAGACAUGAGAUGGGUGGAGCUCAAAGCACAUUGACAACAGUCUCCCUAUAUCCUAUCAGAAUUCUCUCUGCCUCUCCAACCUCUUUAUAGACUGGAAGUCAUAUGCUGGUUUCUAGACAUCUCUCUCACAAAUUUGUAUUUUUCUUAGCAUGGUCAUGGAUGUUCUCAAGAUGCCUCAGUCUGGGAGAGGAAAAAGUGAGGUGCUGCCCUCAAGUGGACUUACAGGCAGAAAUGCUAAGGAGUGGUUGGUGUGAAAGAACAAGAAAGGUGCGUUCAGAGCUCCCUGGAGAUACAUACAUUCCAGGGCUCCCAGGCAUGAAGGGUGGUGAGAACUGGAGGCUUAUGUCAGCAGAGGAGGUCAAGAACUAGUGAAUAUGGAUUAUCAUCUUUAAAUUUUUUUUUAAUGUUUAUUUUUGAGAGAGAGAGAGAGACAGAGACAGAGACAGGGAGCAAGCAGGGGAGGGGUAGAGAGAGGGAGACCCAGGAUCUGAAGCAGGCUCCAGGCUCUGAGCUGUUAGCACAGAGCCCGACAUAAGUAUUGAACCCACCAACUGUGAGAUCAUGACCUGAACUGAAGUUGGAGGCCUAACCGACUGAGCCACCCAGGUGCCCCGAAUUAUCUUUUAUGUGACCCCAUUUGUACCCACAAGAUUAUGUAUGUCUUGGAAAAUGCAGGUUAUGUACAAAAAAAGUACAGCAAAGAAAAUAAAAUUCAGCUGUAAUCUACCACCCUGAGUCUAUGUGUUUGUGUGUGUGUAGAAUUGCUAUAGUAUAUUGCUAUAAUACUUUUAUGACAUAUCAUGAACGCUUCCCUUAUUUAAUAUUUUCCAAAACAUAUUUUUUUAAAUGGCAACCUAGUAUUCCACUCACUGUAUGGCUAUGCCAUAAUUUAAUCAAUUUAAUUUUGGACUUUCAGGUAAUAAGUUCUUUCCUAUUAUGUACAACUCCCUAACAAAUAACUUGCAUUCUAAGACUUAGUGCAAGUCUCUGAUUAUUUUCUUGUGAUAAAUUAACAGAUGUGGAAUUUACUGGGUAGUUUACAUUCAUAUUCCUAAUAUGCAUUACCCCAUUUUCCUUCGGAAAAAUUGUACUUGUUUAGCUCCCACUAGUAGUGUAGAAGGGUAUCUGAUAAAAGCCAUUUUAUAUGAAAACCUUUGUUGGGUGAAUAUUAUCCAGCAUUGAUGAUCGGAAUCAGGGCAGGACCGUGCUCUGCGCGCUGAGGGUUAGAAAGCUGCCCUGGCAGGAAUCCAUGAGAACCAGCCUCCUCAGUUCAGUGUCCCGAGGUCUAAGUUCCUACACACUCGUUUAUCAAAGAGCUUUCUCAGAUUUUGCAAACACACACCAAAGCAGAUCCAAAGGCAGCUCCGCUAAGACACUGGAGGGAACCCUUUCCACCCCUCCCAGGCUCAAUUUCUUCCCGGUCAAAACAAUCCGUGCCCUGUCUGUCCUUCCAGGCUAUCUUGGGACUCCAAAGAAGUAAAAGCGUGAAGGAGCGUAGUGCACUCGUAUAUUACUAAAAAUAGAGUGCAAGGGAAGGGAGAGAGAAGUAGAGAGGCACUGCAAGGCUGGAGGCGGGAGGCUGACUCACUCAGAGCGCGCCGGGGCGGAGCGACUGGGAGGCGACUCCAGAGCAAUUAAGGGGCUCCCGCGGGCCCUUCUCCGCUCCGGNNNNNNNNNNNNNNNNNNNNNNNNNNNNNNNNNNNNNNNNNNNNNNNNNNNNNNNNNNNNNNNNNNNNNNNNNNNNNNNNNNNNNNNNNNNNNNNNNNNNNNNNNNNNNNNNNNNNNNNNNNNNNNNNNNNNNNNNNNNNNNNNNNNNNNNNNNNNNNNNNNNNNNNNNNNNNNNNNNNNNNNNNNNNNNNNNNNNNNNNNNNNNNNNNNNNNNNNNNNNNNNNNNNNNNNNNNNNNNNNNNNNNNNNNNNNNNNNNNNNNNNNNNNNNNNNNNNNNNNNNNNNNNNNNNNNNNNNNNNNNNNNNNNNNNNNNNNNNNNNNNNNNNNNNNNNNGCCGGCACAGCGUCCCCACAUGGAGCGCGAGCCAAGAGCCUCCGAGGCCGCCCCUGAGGCGGCGGUGCUCUUCGCCUGGGUACGUGACUCCGCCCCCGGGCCGGGGCCGCUGGGACUGAGGGGCGCUGAAGGGAUGGGAGCUGGAGGCCUCCGCGUGGGCUGUCGUGGGCUUGGUGGCUGAGGUCCCGGCCGGGCUCUGGGCUGGAGGACCCUGGGCUGGGGCCUGAGGAGGAGAGGGUCGGGAGGCAGGGGUCCUCACGGCUGACUUAGGGGCCUGCUGGCUGGUGGGGUCCGAACCCGAGGGGCUGCGGCGCCGGGGGAAGCAUCUGUCUCCUGGGCAGAGCGUGUGGUUCCGCCAGAGCCCUCAGGCCGGGCUAGCGCCUGGAGAGACGGCGUGGAGGUAUCGCCCCGUCCCGGAGCCAUUGUAAGGCCACCUGUGCUCCUCACCCUCUCGUUGCCCGGAGGAUGCCGGCCCCUUCCCAGCCCCGCCCCAGCCUGGCGAGAGCACCGUUUGCUGCGAGGCCUGCAGUAUUUGGCCGUGCACAUUUGCUGAUCUUCGUCUGUGACCGGAUCUUGCCUGUGUUGGGGGCGUGGGUGUCUGCUUAAUGUCAGUCUCUUUCGCUAGAAGCGUCACGAGGGGGGAUGUAUUGUGCCUGUCUUGUUCACGGUGCCUAGCUGAUAUUUGGACGGAUGAAUGAAUGAGACCCUUUUGUAUGCCUAUGUGCUGGUCUUUGGGGGAAAAACACAAAACUGAAAGACCCAGCUCUGGCGUUGAGGGAGCGGGAUAACACCUAGAUUACUGUUAAAACUACCAUGUAUUUGACUAGUCAAAAAAAGGUAAUGAUCAGCACCAGGCAGCACUUGUUGAGUGUAAGCCUGCAUAUACCGGCAAAAGGGAGAUCGUGGGGCCUGAGGUUGGCUGGCUGGCUGAGUACUGUCUUUGGGGUGGCACUUGAGCCGGGGGUGGAGUUGGGGUUGAAUGUGUGCCUGCGGUGGGUGCUGGUGCUGGCUUUUCCCAGGCGGGAGACUGGGGUCUGGGUGUCAGAUAGAGCCUUGUCUACUGCUUAGAGGCCUGAUGGCCUUCCCGCUGCAUUAUGUGUGUGGAGGGGUGUGUUAGUUUGCUAGGGCUGUCACAGAAAAAUACCAGAGACUGAGACGUCUUAAAAAAUGGAUUUUAUUUUCUUGUAGUUCUGGAGGCCAGAAGUUCAAGAGCAAGGUGUCUGGCAGGUUUACUUUCUUCUGAGGCCUCCUUCUUUGGCUUGCAGAUGACCGCCUUCUUGCUGUGUCCUCAUGUGGCUUUUUCUGUGUUUGAGAGCAUCCCUGUGUCUCCUUCCUAUAUUGGAUUAGAGCCAUACCUUUAUGACCUCGUUUAACCUUAAUUAUCUUUUAAAAGGCCCUAUCCCCAGAUACAGUCACCUUCUGAGGUACUGGAGUCUAGGGCUUCAACAAAUUAAUUUUAGGGGAACACAAUUUCCCUAACAAAGGAAAAUUUACCUCCUUGAGGGUGUGUGUGUGUGUGUGUGUGUGUGUGUGUGUGUGUAGUAUGUCUGGAGUGUUUGUAAGGAAGGGAGGCAAGUACGGCUAACAUGUUGUACUGAAUUUUUCUUUGUUUUGCUUUAUCCUGGAUUUUGGGCCCCUUGCUGUGUUUCAGAAAUUGAGUGCCAUAAUUUGAGCCCCAAGUGCAUGUGUCUCUCUCACUUUCUGUUCAACAGCUUGUAGUCCUGGUAAUGGGGCAGCCACAGAGAUCUCCGGCCUGAUGGAGACAUCCUGUGCAUAUGUACUCCACAGCAUGCACAUUUUUCAUUUGAUCUUUCCUAGGUAGGGCCUCAUCAGAUCAUAUAUUCAUUCACUAUAUUCAUUCUAAAAUAUAUAUACACUUUCUCUGGGGCAGCAUAGUUUCAGAUGCAUUUUCAGGGAAAAUGGCAGUGAACAAAACAAAGUUCUUGCCCUCAUUGAGUUUACUUUGCAGUAGGGGAGGUAGACAGUAAACAACUAAGCAAAUGUAAUGUCAGGGAGUUCUAUGAAGAAAAAGCAUAAAAAGGGAAUAAAGUGAUGGGGUGCUAUUGUAGAUACAGUCAUACAGUUAGUGUCUUGCCAGGUAAGCUCCGGACUGAAUUUCACCAAAAAUCCUUAGGGACAUGGUAUAGCUUAGUGAAAGGAGGAGGGCAUAUCUGACUUCUUGCCUUCCCAGCUAUGCAACUAUGCAACUUAACCUCUCUGAGACUUAGUUUCUUCAUCUGUGAAAUGAGAGCCAUAAAUGUCUAUCUCCUCUGUUAUUGUGAGAAUUAAGGGUGAAUACUAAGUAUUGAGGAAGCAGUCAGUAAUUGGCAGCUAAUACUGCCCCUGAGGGCCUCUUGGACCUGUGCCCUUGCCAUAGCUUGCUUUUUCAGCUUGGAGUCCUUGCAGCCCAGGAUGGCUAUGAAAUAGAACAUGAGGGGCAGGAGUUUGUAUGUAUGUAUGUAUUUUGGGUAGUUAUUUUAAAUUAUUUUUCCUCAUUAAAAUGUCUUAGAAAACAAACACAUUUGGAAGGUUUUACUACUUAUCUCUAGGAAGAACCAGCCAGGAGUAAUUAUAAGGAAUUAUGAGGAUUUCUGAAAUCUAAAGAUUUUUCUGCAGGUCUACAAUUCUUUAUCUUCAAGUUUGAAUACAAAAAACAAAACAAAACAAAAACCUCCAAAACUCAAACUGACCUGACAUAAUGCUAUUUAUAGUCUAUGCGCAGUUAAUGUAUUUGUACCUUUUACUGCAGAAAUAAUACUAUUUUGCUUAUGGGGUGCUGCUCCUGGACCUUGCAGCAGUAUAUAUGAUUUAUAUACAGUAUUAUUUUUUUUAAGCCUAUAAAAGCCUGAAUCUGAAAUACAUCUGGCAGCAAGAGUUUUGGAUUUGGGAUUCUGGACUGUUAUUUCAUAAUAACAAAGAUAGACAUAUUGCCCACCAAGGGGAAAUCUGUUCCCUUACAGGAAUCUCACCAUGUGAAUCUUAGAGUCUCAAAGCAUUGUACUUGGAAAGGCCCUUAGAGAUCAUUGCCAACCUCUUUCACUGUACGAUGAAAUAACAGUGAGGUGACCUGCUUGAGGGCACAAAGCCCUCAGCUAACUUUUAUUAAAGAAGUCCUUGCCAGUUUUCUCAGCGAGGGCAUGAGAAGGGACAAGUCCAGUGCAUUUCCCACCCACUUGGCUGCUAUUUCCUUUCCUUAUUUCUUUUCUUAGCCUCCCUAGAGAAUUGGCUUUUAUCACAAGGAACUCCCAUGCUGUCUCCCAGAGGCAACACAUGUGGGCUGGGGCAUUAGAAGGAGAAGGCAAGGAAUAUCUUUGGAUAAAUAGCGGAUGCUAAGAGCUCCUCUCAUGUGGAAAUCGUCGUGUUCUGGGUAUAGGGCCACUGUCUAAGUAUGGGUUGCAUAUAGCAACCUCUUAAGAAUGAGCUUAUGAAAUCUCAUCUGUUAGAGGCUCUGGGAGGUAUGUCAGGAUGAGAAAGAUAGGGACAGGUAAAUGCACAAUGACAGUUGUGUUUCCUGUACUCUUUCAUCCUUGCCUUAUUUAUCCCUAGGGUGCAAAUAGCUACGGGCAACUUGGCCUUGGCCACAAGGAAGAUGUGCUUUUGCCCCAGCAACUGAAUGACUUCUGUAAACCUGAAUGUGUCAGGAGGAUCACGGGAGGAGGGGGCCACUCUGCUAUUGUCACAGGUAACAUCCUUCUGGAGUAGAUAUUUCUUAUUUAGACAUUUCUCCCUAGCGUAUUGUAUUGCCAUCUUUCAUCCUUUUGUAUUUUGCAGAGGAAAACAUUUUUGUGAAAAAGCCAAGUUACCAGUAGAGAAUUCUAGAUUGUCAGAGCUGAAAGCCCUUCAGAGAUCUAGGCUCUCCACCCCCAUUUAUACAAAUGAGGCUUGGAGAGGAAAACCAGUUGCUUAAGGUUACAAGACAAAUUAAUGGCGGAGUUGCAACAUAUACCACAUUUCAUACAAUAUAUUGUCAUUUAACUUUCACAUGUUAGAGUUAGAAGUCUUUGCAGUUAGAGUGAAUAUUCCUUGAGAGCAAGAACUUUGUAUUUUCUUUAAUUUCCUUCAUAGUACCUAUGAUAGUACUUAAUGAGUACUCCAGAUGCCAUGAUAUUGGAAAGGAUGGUGUAUUGAAUCCUGAUUAAGAACAUGAGUUCUGGAAUCAACUGCUUGGGUUCAAAUCCUGGUUCUGUUAUUAGCUGUGUGGCCUUGGGCAAAUUAAUUUCUCUGUGCCACUUUUCCCUCUGUUACAUGGGGAUAAAAAUGAUGAAUGAAGCGAAUCAGUGAACUACAGGGCUGCAUUAUGACUUUCAUGGGUCCUUGGCACUCUUGCCUUUGUGGACCCCUUCUUCCUUAAAGAAAUAUUAAGAACUAUAUUUUACGACAGCUUUGAUAUAAAGAUUAGUAUAAUCCAGGCUAGAUUUAGCAUUGUGUAUUCGUUAUUAUUGCAUUUAUUUAUUUUUUUUAUUUUAGAAGAAUAUAAGAUUAAAACAUUUUUGUGGGCCUCUGAAAGUAUCGUGGGCCCUAGGCAUUCUGCCUAAAGGAUAAAUGGGCCCCACAGAUAAAGCUCUUACAAGAAUACCUGGCAUAUUAUAAGUUCUAAAUAAAUGUUGGCUUUUCUUAUUAUAGUAGAUGCUCUAUUUGGUGAUUGGCCACUGCUCUAGGACUUGGAGUUUUCAUAUAGAUGCUAGACUUGAGCCCCUUCGCCCUAUGCCAUUUGGGCCAGUGCACAUUAACGUACAUGGCUUAUUAACGCGGGUGGGAAAAAAUUUAUUGGGUUUGUGACUGCAGCUAAUUAGUAAAAUCCUUUUACUCGCUUUGACAGUUGUAAUUUCCCCUGUGCACACCAUCACCAAAACUUUUGCUUUCUGCAGAUGAAGGAGGCCUUUUUGUUUGUGGCCUGAACAAAGAUGGGCAAUUGGGGCUUGGUCACACAGAAGAUGUUCUGUAUUUUACCACCUGCAGAUCUCUCCUUGGCUGUCCUGUCCAACAGGUGGCCUGCGGCUGGGAUUUUACCAUUAUUCUCACAGGUGAGUUCACUCAUGGGUAAAUCUUUAUCACCACAAAGGCAUUGGGUGAGAAGAACUCGAUGGUGGUGAUACUGAUUAAGUGAAAGUCUCUUUAUGUGUAAACAUACAUACAAAUUUCUCUUUGGUUGUUGAGGAAAGUUGUGGGUGCCUUUUGCAAGGAGAGUUUGAACAGCAAAAUUUUGGGCUGGAAAACUUUUACUAGAGACUAGGGAAGAGACUGGAUCACCUUUGGUGGCUACUUCCUGUCCCAGAAAUUCACGAUAGCUGUGUGCCUGGGCUAGCUGGCCAUUAGUACCGGUGAAGGGCUACUCAUGGGGAAAUGUGGUGGGGAAGCAGGAGGAAGUCAGCGUUCACACAACAGUGAUGGCAGCUUUUCCCCCACUGAAGGAUUAAAAAAAAAAAAAUGGUUGGGCACAACUCUUUGCUCUCUGCAAAGCCGGAUAGCAGAAUAGGGUGUAGAGGGAUAUGGCCAAACGGCUAAUAGGAUAAUGCUCUUGGGAGCAGCUAGCAAUAGUUACUUUUUGUCAGCUGACUUCUCCCCAGAAGUAGUUUUGUCCUGUCUAGCUUGCCAUUCUGGAUGGAGAAGACCAUGUAUAGUUUCUGACUAGACUCCCUCUUUGACACAGUCAUCUGGCAAGGGCAUUUUCUGACCAAAUCCUCCUCACCCCACCCUUGUAGAUUCUUAUGUGCACAGCUCAGAUCCCAAACUUCCACACAUAGCUUCAAUUACUGUUCCCUACCUAUCCCUGUUGUUGCCUUGUCUUUUAUUCUCCACAUUCUCCAUACUUUUCUUUCUAGAAAUACCAAGCAGAAUGUUGUUCUCUCUCUGGAACAGUCCCUUUUUCUGAUGACUCAUAUCCUUUCUUCAAAACCCUGCUCAGGCAUCAGCAUCUCUCUUUUGCAGAGGGAUUCUGUAAUAGGUGCUGAAUUUGGUACUAAUAACCCUGAAUAGUAGCCAUCAUUUCUGAAGUGCUUUUUGUGGACCAUGUUGGGGUUGUAGGGAGUCUGUGAAUAACACUCUAUUUCCUGCUCACUUUUGGAACCAAUUGUGAGAAAGGUGGAGAGCAGUCAGAUAGCUGGAGAUCACACUGUUGGCUUUUCACUGACAAAGGCUAUGUUGGAGAACAGGGUUAAUGGUCAGGCCAAGUGCUUCUGCUAAUUCUCCUCUGAUCCAGAGUUAUUCUGCAAACAGUAGGUUAUCUCUGUAGGGGAAACACUUACUGUGCAUCAGUCUAGAGUACCUGAGAGGAAGGUGCCAAGCCACACAUGCUCUUCCUUCUCCCAAACUUAUCAGUUGGUUAAGUUACCCCUUUUCUCCUGGAAAGCAGGGAGCAUACGAAGGGGCAGGGAGAGAGGCCUGGAGUGUUAAAAUAAUGAAAAUUAUGUCACAUGGAAACAUGAAAAGUGGGGCGUGGGGCAUCAGUAUCCCAUCCCAGCACCAGGCUAAUGUUCUAUAGCAGAUAAGCUGUCAUUAAUUAGGUAGUGUGAUAGAGAAUCUGUAAAAUGCUUAGCCUAGUGCCUAGUGUUUUUAUUCCUAGAGGAACAAUAAAAGCAGGGACUGUGGUUUGAAUGUACUAAAGUGUAACCCUGUCUUCCUCCUCUCAUUCCCUUUGCUCCUCCCAUCCUUCAACAUUUACUCACUGGUCAAAGAUAUCUUACUUCUGAGGUUAUGAUUUAAAUAUUUGAUUUGCAGGAAAUGGUCAAGUUCUGUCAUGUGGAUCCAACUCCUUCGGCCAGUUAGGAGUUCCUCAUGGCCCUCGAAGAUGUGUGGUUCCCCAGGCCAUUGAGGU
rnacentral:lncRNA from 1 species